UAGGGAAUCUUCCACAAUGGACGCAAGUCUGAUGGAGCAACGCCGCGUGAGUGAAGAAGGUUUUCGGACCGUAAAGCUCUGUUGUUGGUGAAGAAGGAUAGAGGUAGUAACUGGCCUUUAUUUGACGGUAAUCAACCAGAAAGUCACGGCUAACUACGUGCCAGCAGCCGCGGUAAUACGUAGGUGGCAAGCGUUGUCCGGAUUUAUUGGGCGUAAAAGCGAGCGCAGGCGGAAGAAUAAGUCUGAUGUGAAAGCCCUCGGCUUAA
rnacentral:rRNA from 1 species